UAAUGACUGUGAUGAUGAUGGUGAUGAUGAUGAUGAUGAUUGAUACUGGCUGGAAGAGAGUAAAAAUAAUACCGUCACAAUCAUCAUUAUCGUUAUUAUUAUUAUCUUCUUCU
rnacentral:miRNA from 1 species